ensembl:antisense_RNA W10G6.5 ncRNA
AAAAACUGCCUCACCUCUUCCUUCCCAACCCAUCAACAUUUCUUGUACACGAAGAAGGUGGCGGAUCGGGAGGGGCUGGAGAUGGGCGGCGCAGUGAAGAUGAUGGAAGGGAGCGGUUUUCUCCAAUUUAUCGUUUUUUUUCUCUCUCUCUUUCCUGACCACUUAUCCAUUCGCAAUCCCCGCCUCCAUUGGUGAUUGCAAAAGUGACGAAGAUGGACAUGUUCCCGUAGGUGGUGGAUAACUGGAUUAAAACGAGACGAGAUCGUUAAUUCGGAAGGACUAAAGAGGUUAUCUUGCAAAGAAGAACAAGGAGAUACAUCGGCCUAAUGGGACGAAUAAAUGUUAUUGUACGAUUCACAUCCAAAUGAGUCCCUCUUUUCAUGUCACUGACCGCGAGAUUGCAGAAAAAAAUAAAUUGUGUUACUUGAGA